rnacentral:lncRNA from 1 species
AAUACACUUGAGAAGCUUCUGCCUAAAACACGGAAGAUGGGAGUUUUAUAUCCAUCAUGUCCUGUCCUUGCCUGGUUAAAUGUGGGUGAGGUUGUACACGUGUGCCAGCUCAGCUGAACAGGCUGGGCAGAAGCUCAGAAGCCCUAAGAAAGCAAGCAAGAUCAAGGUGAGGAUCUCUGAGGCUAUCGCUUAUCCCCACGUGCCACAGAAAUAGUCAGAGAACAAAGGGGAGAUAAAGGCUAUUAAGACCUAUGAACCAGCAUCAGGAAAACAUGGACUGAUGUAGCAGGGCUUGUAUAAAAUGGCCUUAGAGCAGAGAACUAAAUAUAGAAAAGAAAUGAAUCAUGAAAAUAUUUG